rnacentral:rRNA from 1 species
UACGUAGGGUGCAAGCGUUGUCCGGAAUUCUUGGGCGUAAAGAGCUCGUAGGCGGUCUGUCACGUCUGCUGUGAAAACUCGGGGCUUAACCCCGGGCCUGCAGUGGGUACGGGCAGACUAGAGUGCGGUAGGGGAGACUGGAAUUCCUGGUGUAGCGGUGAAAUGCGCAGAUAUCAGGAGGAACACCGGUGGCGAAGGCGGGUCUCUGGGCUGUAACUGACGCUGAGGAGCGAAAGCGUGGGGAGCGAACAGG